rnacentral:rRNA from 1 species
UACGUAGGGGGCAAGCGUUGUCCGGAAUCAUUGGGCGUAAAGAGCGCGUAGGCGGCCCUGUAAGUCCGCUGUGAAAGUCAAGGGCUCAACCCUUGAAUGCCGGUGGAUACUGUCGGGCUAGAGUGCGGAAGAGGCGAGUGGAAUUCCUGGUGUAGCGGUGAAAUGCGCAGAUAUCAGGAGGAACACCAAUUGCGAAGGCAGCUCGCUGGGACGUUACUGACGCUGGAGACGCGAAAGCGUGGGGAGCAAACAGG